GAGCAGCAGCUCAGACGUGUCGAAAAAGAUGUUUUGAUCCCUAAAAUAAUGAGAGAAAAGGCCAGAGAGAGGUCUUCUGACAAGUUCAAGAUUUUACCAAAUGUUGCAAGAACUCUGGAAUCCUUAUGGUAGUAAAAUGCUGGAAAGAAAAUUCUGCAUUGAAAGAAUGUCUUAACAGCUCACUAUAAUGACCCAGCCUUUUAUGAAUAAUGCAAAGUGGAAAACCUGAAGGAAAAGGAAGAAUUCAGAAAAACUGGAAUUUCUACAAAGAAAAGUCUACAGAAGCUGCCCACAAGUGUGUAG
rnacentral:lncRNA from 10 species